CGGCGAGUGAAGCGGCAACAGCUCAAAUUUGAAAUCUGGCCCCAGGCCCGAGUUGUAAUUUGCAGAGGAUGCUUCGGGCGCGGCGCCUUCCAAGUCCCCUGGAACGGGGCGCCAUGGAGGGUGAGAGCCCCGUACGGUCGGACGCCAAGCCUAUGUGAAGCUCCUUCGACGAGUCGAGUAGUUUGGGAAUGCUGCUCAAAAUGGGAGGUAGACCCCUUCUAAAGCUAAAUACCGGCUAGAGACCGAUAGCGCACAAGUAGAGUGAUCGAAAGAUGAAAAGAACUUUGAAAAGAGGGUUAAACAGCACGUGAAAUUGUUGAAAGGGAAGCGCUUGUGACCAGACUUGCGCCGGGGCGAUCAUCUGGCGUUCUCGCCGGUGCACUCGCCCCGGCCCAGGCCAGCGUCGGUUCGGGAGGGGGGACAAGGGCGCCAGGAACGUAGCUCCUUCGGGAGUGUUACAGCCCGGCGCGUCAUGCCCCCGCCUGGACCGAGGUUCGCGCUCUGCAAGGACGCUGGCGUAAUGGUCAUCAGCGGCCCGUCUUGAAACACGGACCAAGGAGUCGAGGUUCUGCGCGAGUGUUUGGGUGCCAAACCCGCACGCGUAAUGAAAGUGAACGUAGGUGGGAGCCUCGGCGCACCACCGACCGAUCCUGAUGUUCUCGGAUGGAUUUGAGUACGAGCGUUGGGCCUCGGACCCGAAAGAUGGUGAACUAUGCUUGGAUAGGGUGAAGCCAGAGGAAACUCUGGUGGAGGCUCGCAGCGGUUCUGACGUGCAAAUCGAUCGUCAAAUCUGAGCAUGGGGGCGAAAGACUAA
rnacentral:rRNA from 1 species